GAACAUGCCCUACAGCUAAAAGUUUCUCAGAGCGAGAAAGCUCACCUCAAAUUACCGUCUUCUCCGCAUCACAAUUCCAUGGCGGGGUUUGAAAAGUGAAAACACUUUCGUUGGAGGGAACUUGAAAAAAGAGCGGCAAAACAUGAAACAUCAAAACCCCAAACACGCUCUCUCUAGUCUCUUCCCUCCAUUAAUCUUCAUCAGUUUCUCUCUCCUCUCUCUUUUCCGAAUUAACUUCCUCUCCUUCGUUCGCCGCUUCCAUGGCGGCGCCUUUGAAACUUCUUCAUUCAGAAGCUCAUUUUCAUGAGCAGAUUCAAGGUGUAAUUGAACCAACUUAGAUGCCAGUCAUUUAGUCAAUGCUUGGCACAUGUUUGUUAUUUCAAGGAUUGAUGGCGAGCAUUUCAACUUGACAUUCAAACAUUUCGGUAUUUGCUGAUAAAUCAUUCAGUGGUGAUCUUUUCUGGCUUCAACUUUACAAGGAUGCUUCUUUGAGGAAGCUGAAAGCUGUUGAACCUUCUGCAUGAUGUUUUUCUGAAAUCUUGUAGGAUUGCCUUUGUGACUGCAUAACCAUCUUCUCACCUUCAAGAACAUAGAAAGAGCGCAAAUUUUCAGCAAAAGGUCCUGGUAUGCUGUCUGGACUUUUUUCCUGUGCAACAUGUUGCACUGCUGAUUCUGUAGUUACAUUGCUUUGUUCUGUUGGUGUACUGUUCUCAUCUUUUAUUGAUGUAUUGUAUGGUCUGCUCUCUACUUCCAACAUCUCAAGGCCUUUGGUGCCCGAUAAUUGAAAAUUUAGAUUUAGCAGGUUGUCGUUUGAGCAGACUCCUUGUGGUUGUGGAGAACAUUUUGUGGUAUGAUUCAUACAUCCUGGUUGAUCAUGCUGAGUUUGACUGUAAGCUUCAUGAAGGAAGGGACUCUCUGCCAUCUUUAGAAGUCCCAUAAAUGAGGUGGAGCAAUCAAAAUAAUUUGAUUGGGAGCUGGUAGUCAGAGGCUGUGUUCUUGAGUCGCUUUCUGAAAAAAUGCUCAUUAGUCCAACUGUCUGCAUAUUUGGAGAGUUGGUGGAGUUCUGGGACGACAUUACUGAGUGCUGUGAUGAAGUUGCAUCAUCUUUUGCUCUAUCAUCUCCUAAGAUACUUGCUGUUUCUGCAGUCUGGCUAUUUGCAUUAUCAACUAUUGAGUUAUUGGGGGCUUUUUGACUGCUUUCACUAGAAUAAUCCUUUGGGCUAACUGAACCAGGAGCUCUUCCAGUUAGUUCUUUGCUGUUGACAACUUCCUUCUCUUCACUGUGGUCCAUGUCAUGCAUAAUUCUAGAAUUCCUGCUGAAAUUUUGUUGAUCCACUGCCUUCUCGUUCCAGGUGAUGCUUGCCUCAGGUUCUAUUAUGCAAACAUCUGGUUCUACAACCAAAGCAGUUGUUGACUCCUCUGAAAGGCUACUUUCACUGCCUUCUGACUUGAGAGGAAAAUGAGCAGCGAGUGACAUGAAAGCAGAGCUGCAAACAAAAUGGUCUAAGAUACAACUUAUUCAGGGCAUAUUUGGAUUGGGGGUAUUGUAUUAAGUGGGUAACAAGAGAAAAUAAUGAGAAUAAAAAUGACGAUGGGUGGAGCAGGAGGUGGUUGUAGUUGUUGAGGGAGGAGGAAGGUGUGGGGUUAUUGUUCCCUUCAAAUGAGGGUGAUAGUUCCUCAUCCCUCUUGCAACCACGAUUAUCGCAUUUCCAUCUUCUCUUUAUUUUCUCUUUCCACCCCUUAAUUUUCUACCACCAAUCAUGCCGUCAAUGGAAUAGAUAUCCGGGAAUUUCAGCGUGAUCUUACCUAGAGAGAUGAUCUGAUACAUUCUGAGUAAGAAAAACUCCAAUGACAGAGUCCAAAACAGAUCCUUUCCACGGGGUGAAGCGUCUAUCUCCUGCGUGAAAGAACAGUAUAUGUUAGUGAUUGAUGAUAUUACUCUGGGUGAAGGUACAUUCAAGUAUACUGUAAUAUAAAUGUUUUCAUAGUUUCUGUCCUCAAAUCGUGACAUGCCAUCAAUUAGUAUUGAUGUCUAGUGAAUGGCAUGUCCAAUUUCCAAAAUUGAAGUUGCUUCACCUCUGCCAACAGUAUAUAGAAUGUAUCCAUAGGUGACAUAGUUGUGAUGGAAAAUUAACUGAAUUAUUCUUAUUUCCUGCUGACUAACAAGUAUUUCACAUAGUUCAAGCAUCGACCUUAUGUUUUUGUCUACAUUAAAAUCUGCACAUUGUUAAGAGGCUUAUUUUUCUUAGAAAUUCGGAAUUUACAAGAUUGCAAUGCCAGCCCAGUGGAAAUGUACUCGAGGUGCAGAGAUGAUUCCCAAGUAUUGAAGUAUGGAUAACUACUCUGAGCUGCCGCUGGAAGAGGCGGCGGCGGCUGCGGCUGAUGCUGAUGCUGCUGUUGCUGUUGCUGUGGUGGCUGGUUUGGUGUAGGAUAAGUUACUUUUGUCCUCCUGCCUUGGCUACUCCAACGAGGCAAAUAAUCCUCUAAACCCCUUCUUUGCAUUUCUACAUUUUCUCUCUCUAAAUUUAUUCUAUCACCAUGAUUAACAUCCCAAAAAUUAUUAUUACUACUACUUGGGAUGCAUUCUGCAGAACUUAUUGAAUAAGAUAAAAGAGUUUGAGCCUGAUUUUGAUGUGCAAAUCUUGACAAAUAAUUUUCAAUCUCAUCAUUUUCAUAGAUCGGUCCAAGAUGAGGCUUCACUGGGGUUGAUGGAACCCAGGAAUUCACCUGGAAAUCUUUUACCAUUGGAACUGAUUUUCCAUUGUGAGUUUCCAUGAUUUACUUCUUUGGAAACUCCCAAUAAAAAAAAAAUUGGUAAAAAAAAAAAAAAAACACAAGCCACUUUUCUUUCUUCUCUUCCUUUUCUUAUGUUGUUCUUUUAUUUGUGCAGUUAGAUGGGUUGUUGGAGAAAAAUUGACCAAAAUAAUUUCUCCUCAAAAAACUAUGCUCUCCUCCAAAAUCUCCUUCAGGUUGAACCCAUUUGCCUUAAUUACC